CCAGUGGACGGCCAAAGGGGAGGAAACACUUGAUUUACAGUCCCAGAAAACAGCUCCAGACUGUCUCUACAGGGUGUAUUUACAGUUGCAGCAGCAUCUUGUGACUCCACCAAACACCGCAGAGUUUACGGCCUGCACUGUCAGCCGAUCCAACACCAGCAACCCACCAGCUGUGAAAAGUGUUACCCGUCCAGGUCCGGCUGUGCUGCUGCUGAUGACUGACAGCAGGUUUAAUAUUUGAUGAGGGACUUGGGAUGAACCAAUGGUUGGUCUCUCAGAGUGUGUGAUGCAGGGAACACCCAAACCUCCGCUAUUGUUACCCCCCCUCUGUCCUGCCCUGCUAUUCAUAGAGCAGAGGAUAGGGUUCUGCACUCCCGCUCUGAGAGUUUCACCGAAGAGAGAAACACAAUGAAGUCAGAGUAACAAAGGUUGCUGUGCCCUUCUCAUCACUAUCAUGUGAGCUCCUCCAUAACGGGAUUGCAAAGUGAUGGACAGUUUAAAUGGAGGAGAGGGCUCGGCUAAGUUUUCUGCAGAUAUUACACUCCUCAUACAGCUGCAAUUCACAUUAAUCUAAUGCACACACACCUUACACUUAGACCCGUUAAAGGGUCUUUGAGAUUUUAAGAAGUCUUUGUUUUUAAAUAACGUUUUUAUCUCUGUGUGCUAAGAAUCAAACAUCACUAUUGUCUGGCACUGCAGACAUCAAAAUAUAGUAUAAAAUACAGAGUUAAGGUUAGGGUUAUGUGCAGACCAGUUGGUGGAUUUUAACCAGCUCUUAGUUGGGAAAAAAACUCCCCAAAUCAAUUAAAAGCUGUUAAAUAAAGUCACCAGUAAUGUAUAGUACAAGACUCUACACAGUGGUUACACAGGUUUUUGCUAUACAAACAAUCCUUCCAACAGUCAAGUUAAACCCAUGAAAACUAGGUCACAAAGAGGGGCGUGCAUGGCUUUUCUGAGCUAUCUUGUCUUCUGCUCUAAACACCAAAAUCACGUCAGAAGCAGUUAACCAAAACAAGCAUACCUCAAGAAACUGAGACACCCCAAGGUCUUAUAAUCUUUCUAUCUGGACAGCUUGAAACAAAUCUCGCGUCAGUGUGAACUAUACAAACGUAGAUGACACAAUCACAUCAACAUGAAAAAAUUGGGGGGAAAUGCCCCACCCCCAGGUGAUUUUGUCCUCUUGUUUUGUAUUGCAAGUGUCCAAAGUUGAGGUAAAAAUAAAAAAAGUUUUCACUGAGCAAACAUGCAGUUUAGUCCAGCAGCUUACAGUCUACAUGAACUGUAGGCUACAGAAAACAACUGAGUCUUUCAUAAAUGUCUUAACUUUCUACAGUAAAUUUUAAUUUUUCCUCUGAUUUUACUGUCAUACUAAUUUUCUAUAAGUAGAUAUUUUAAUAUAAACAUUAAGUUUGUACAGAUUGUGUACUUUAAGGUCGAUGUAACAUCCUGGUGAAAUAACAGACUGAAGCUUAAUAAAACUACAUUUAGAACAAAACUGUUACAACAAUCUGUUACUGCAGCUUUAAUUCUUUUGUUCAUUUGUUUUUUGACAUGUGUCUUGUCUUCAACUCAGCUAAUUCCAGAUUUGUUCCACCAGCUUCACAGUGUUAUCUCAACCCCCUUUAACCACCACCCACCUCGGGGACCCCCGACCUCUGACACGGUGCUAACAAUAUCACCAUCACUCCCUGCCGCUACAGGUGUCUCUCUGUGGCUCAGCGUGAAUCUGUGGGAUUUACUGCUGGACUUAGAGGUGCACUCUCUUCAUACCACCUCUGGCAGCGUGCCUGAAGGAAUCAACAGCUCCAGCUUUUUUUUCUUUAUAAAUGACUGUCAGGCCCAUGAGGGAAUUUUGGCAGGUUAGAAGGAAACACUGAAACUGAUCCUCCUCUUUUUGCCUUUUUUUUUGCUCAGCUCUUAAUCCAUAAACCAUCCCUGAACAGGCCCAUCUGGCAUCUGGUAGCCUCCUCACCGACUCCCUCUCCCCUAUUUUAGGGUCCAUUUUUCUUCAUUUCCUCAUCCCUGUAUUCUUCCCACCUGUUUCAUUGUCAAUCCAACACAGCGGCUAAAUAAUGAGUUAGUUUAUCUACAGUUAACACACACCACACAUAGAUUUUUCAAUGAUUUAUUGACUGAUGUAAAAUAUAAGGCCAAUCUACAAUUUCUUCUUGAAUCCCCAAUUUGUGAUACUGUGUUGAAGGGCUUUCUACUAACAAAAAGAAAAACAAACAGCCAAAACUGGAGAUUAUGAAGUAGGUGAGAACUGCAAUUGUUAUAUGGCAUCCUAAAUAUGACAUAACUAU